rnacentral:rRNA from 1 species
GUUGGGAAUUUUGGACAAUGGGGGAAACCCUGAUCCAGCGACACCGCGUGCGCGAUGAAGGCCUUCGGGUUGUAAAGCGCUGUCGGAAGUGAAGAAGAUUGGACCCAUGAAUAAUGGGACCAGUCAGACGUUAGCUUCGGAGGAAGCCACGGCUAACUCUGUGCCAGCAGCCGCGGUAAGACAGAGGUGGCGAGCGUUGUCCGGAUUUACUGGGCGUAAAGGGUGUGUAGGCGGUCGUGUAAGUCAGUUGUGAAAUCCGUCGGCUCAACCGAAGAAGAGCGACUGAUACUGCACGGCUGGAGUGCGGAAGAGGAAAGUGGAAUUCCUGGUGUAGCAGUGAAAUGCGUAGAUAUCAGGAAGAACACCAAUGGCGAAGGCGACUUUCUGGUCCGCUACUGACGCUGAGGCACGAAAGCCAGGGGAGCGAACGGGAUUAGAUACCCUGGUAGUCC